rnacentral:lncRNA from 1 species
UCGUCAUAGCGCUGCCGUGCCAAUUUGUCCUGGUAUUGGGCUCGUGCUUGAUGCUGUUUUGUUUCCUCACUGAGUGUUUUUCGUCUCUCUUCUGCUUGCACCCGUAUCUGCUCGUUCUUCAGUUGCUCUAUGGCAGCUUCGUACUCCUUCAGCUUGGCUUGCUGCUCCAGCUGCAGGGUCUGCUCUUGCAUCUGGGCCAGGCUGAGUGCAUCCUUUGCAUGGCGGGACGCGUCCAGCUCCCUCGCCGCCUUGGCCGCCCGCUCCAGGCCCGUGGGGUCGAAGUUGCUCCAUUUGUCCUUGGGCGUGCUGCGGUCCCCCGCCCCUCCGCUGCCCGCCGGCCCGCCGCCACCACCCGGGCCCGGCGGCAGGGAAAGCCCGGCCGCUCCCUGCCCCGACUCGCCGCCGCCCGCCGGGGCCGAGCCGCGGUUGAUGCCGAAGAGCCAGGACAUGGCGCCGCCCCGCCGCCGGCUGCACCGCGGGACCCACGCCGCGCCGAGCCACGCGCGCCGCCUCCGAUUGGGC